rnacentral:rRNA from 1 species
UACAGAGGUCUCAAGCGUUGUUCGGAAUUAUUGGGCGUAAAGAGCUCGUAGGCGGUGUGUCGCGUCGGCCGUGAAAACCUGCAGCUUAACUGUGGGCUUGCGGUCGAUACGGGCAUCACUGGAGUUCGGCAGGGGAGACUGGAAUUCCUGGUGUAGCGGUGAAAUGCGCAGAUAUCGGGAGGAACACCCGUAGCGAAGGCGGCACUCUGGGCCGUGACUGACGCUGAGGAGCGAAAGCGUGGGGAGCAAACAGG